AUGAGCCAAAUGCUGAGCAUGAUGAAGCCACUGCCACGCGACGCUGAAUAUCCACGGGAAUUCUUUGUUGAAGACCUAGAGUAUCUGCCACGCACGAUCUAUCAUAUCAUAAGGCGAACUCUAUGGCCCAUCAAGGGACAUUCACCUGCAGCGAAGCUUGAAGGAGCAAUGAAGACAUUGGUCUUCUCUAUCUUCAAUGGCAUCAGUUUCAAUGCUCAAGACUUCUUCAUCAGGCAAUUGGCUGCAUCUGGCUCUGAUCUUUUUGGAUUGAAAUUCUAUGCUCCAUGGGUUAUGCGCCUUAUCAAGCUUCACUCUGCCGUCAACAAUCAGCCGUCUGCGCGCAACCAUCUGAUAUUCUUGCCAGAGGUUGAUAUGUUUGUCGAAGCCAUCUACCCAGAGCCUGCCAAGGAGCCAAUUUAUCUUCACAAUGCUGAUCACCAAAGCUUCACACAGCCUCAUCGUGCCCAAACUGAAGCCACUGAAAGCACAAUUGCUCAAAGGCCUCGGAAGCUUUCUCGUGUUCUCAACGACCGAGAGCUUCUCGUUGCCCUGCAUCAAAAACAGGAUAAGCAUCACGACUGGCUGAAGCGUCAGAUGAAAAGCCUCUUGGUGGAUGUCAAUCGCAUUCGCAACCUUGCCACCAAGAAUGCAUUUGUCACUCACGAAACCUGUCGGAGGUCUUGGAAGAGUUUGACAUUGCUUAGUGCUGAAGCUGAUCUUCAAGACGAUGGCUUCACCGAAAGAUUCAAGUUUGAUUCCACUCCUCCCAGGAAUGCUGUCUUGCGUCAGACUCCCUCACUUGAAGACUCUGACUAUUCUUCCUCAGCUGCAACUGUUGAUGCCAGAGUCAUUGAUGACCAAGAUGAUGCUACUUCCCCACCUCCAACUUCGGCGCGUAUCGACACUACACCAAGUUCUUCUGCACCACCAAACCUCAACGACGAUCCUGCUGCUUCACCACCUACUCCUCAUGAGAACGAGUAG
rnacentral:rRNA from 1 species